AACAGUAGAAGUCUUAAACAUAAUAUAAGUAAAUACUGAAAGAAAGUUUAGAAAAACUUGAUGAAUCCUUGCUUCAAGAUUGUAAUCUUCUUCUUCUCUUCACUUCCAGAAUUGAGUUUUUCUUCACUCUCUCUCUAAAAUUAUUUCUUUCACUGCACAAUCUGAUCUAGAUCACCCUAAUGGGGCUUUACUUUAUGUUAAUUAAGUGGGAUCAAGGGGAAAUUCCAAUUUUAUCCCUCAACAACCAUUUUCCGGAACCUAGACUAGCACGGCCGCGCAUCUGGCCGCGCUACCUGAGAUGCAUUUCCUCUAGCUCCCGAGAAAGACAUUAUAUGAUCUGGAUUGUUUUCUUGCUCUUCCUUCAUAUUUAGUCCCGAGGUAUUUUUGUUGCUUCAAAUUGAUUCCAGUCCUAUAUUGUUUUACAUAAUAUAGGCUUCCUAACCUGAAAUAUAAACAAUUCAUUAUUAAAGCCCAUAUUUCAUCAAUUAAUCACAAUAUAUCAUUGGAAUAUAAUUAAGCAGAAGCAUAAAUAAUAGCUAAAUCACCUAGAUUUCGCCUAUUAUCAAACUUCUCAAGUACAAAUUGACAACCACUCCCAUAAUUUCCGCGCCCAAUUGGAGCUUAGAUCACCUAGAUUUCGCCUAUUAUCAACUAUUGGUUACCCAUUGGUUUCAUUCGAAAUGGAUAAUAUGGUUCUUAUCCAUAUUUGACCCGUUUUUAAAAAGUUCUUAACCAACCCAUUUUUAAUGGAUAAUAUGAGUGGAUAACUGUUUUCUUUUAACCAUUUUGCCACCCCUAGUUAGAACUGAAGCUUAGUUGUGGUUAUCUUACGUCACCUCUUUAUAUUUCUUGUAAGCUUCUUUAUUUGGGAGAGAAUUUUUUUUCAAAUUGGAGAUACAAGUGAAUUUAGAAAAUCUCUCAUUUUAAAUAGCUAAUAUGAAGUGGGGUAACAAGAGCAUCUAAGCAUCUUUAUCGUGAAAGAAUGCUAUUACUAGAUUUGUACUCAGAAUCAGGUAUUUGACCCAUACCCAUGGCCACGAAGACUAAUAUGGAAGGCUAAACUACGUAACAAGGUUAUUUGUUUCAGUUGAAUUGCUCGAUAUGAAGCCUGCUUAACACAAGAUAAUCUCAAUAGAAGAGGCUUUCGACUGGUAAACAGAUGUUACAUUUGUAAGGAAAGCUCAUAGAAUGUCAGUCACCUGCUUUUGCAUUGCCCAGUUGCCACUGAUCUGUGGAACUAGUUCUUUUUGUCUUUUUGACUUGAACUGGGUCAUGCCAUUGCAUAUAAGAGAGACAUAUUUAUAGAGUUGAUAUGGCCAUCAAGAAGAUCUGGUUGAUGAUUCUUGCAGUUAUUUUUUGGAGUUUAUGGAAUGAAAGGAACCAAAGAUACUUUGAUGGAAUCUCAACUCCAAUCACAAUCUUAAAGCUAAUUGUUUGCUUACCCUUUUUGGCUGGGUUAACCCCGUAAUUAGCACUGACCACUUCUUGGACUUUGUUAGCUCCCUAGUUAUAGCUUAACACAUUUUAAAGGGGCUUACAAACUCUUGUUUUUAUGUGUUUUUGUCUUUAGAUUUUGUAACUAUGCAUCAACGUGAUUCCUUUCUAAUGAAAUACCUUCAUCAAAAAAAGAAUAGCUAAUUUGAAGAAACAAAUUAUGGAUCCGUGAUGAAUUAGAUUGGAGUAGAUGCCGAGGAUAUAUACGGUUGAUCCCAACUAAUUGGACACUGAGGCGUAGUUGAUGAUACGGUUGGUGGUGGCAUGAACAAGAUUGUGCUAGCCUAGGCCAUGGUUUGUGGUGAGUUAUUAUUUAUCUAGUCUAUUAAAAAACUAGGGAGACAAAAUUUGACCCCGUGAUCUCAAGGUUAUGACCCUUGCGAGCUACCAAAAUGCUUUUUAAGUUAUUUUAGGAUAUAAGCUUUUAUUGUGUGAGGGAGUAUUUUUCUUUAUUGUCUGAGAGAGUAAAAAGUACUCCCUCAGUCAAUAAAGGCUUAAGCUAUUCCUAAAGAUCGAUAUGGAUCAUUACAGAGGUUUUUUGACUAACAAUGUGGAUUAAGGGGUUUGAGGAACGCUUCAGGAUUUUAUUAUCUGCCUUAGCAAAAAUUUGGUGCGAUUAGUGCAUAAGAAAGCCCCUUGAAUCUCGUCAUCUGCCCCUUUAGCUUGGGUCCAUCUUGACGUGAUCUGGUACUCUAGCGCAAUAACAAGUGUUGAACCAAGGAUGGCUGGACUACUCGAGCGAAGCUCUGAUACUUUAAGUGAUAUUAUCUUAGCAGUUGUCAAGAGGGGUUGCUCUGAUGGUAAGCAACCCCUACUUCCAACCGAGAGGUUGUGAGUUCGAGUCUCCCCAAGAGCAAGGUGGGAAGUUCUUGGAGGGAAGGAUGCCGAGGUCUAUUUGGAAACAAUCUCUCUACCCCAAGGAUAGGGGUAAGGUCUGUGUACAUACUAACCUCCCCAGACCCCACUAAGUGGGAUAAUACUGGGUUGUUAUUGUUAUUAUU
rnacentral:lncRNA from 1 species